CUGGUCUUGACAUCCACGGAAGUUUUCAGAUGAGAAUGUGCCUUCGGGAACCGUGAGACAGGUGCUGCAUGGCUGUCGUCAGCUCGUGUUGUGAAAUGUUGGGUUAAGUCCCGCAACGAGCGCAACCCUUAUCCUUUGUUGCCAGCGGUCCGGCCGGGAACUCAAAGGAGACUGCCAGUGAUAAACUGGAGGAAGGUGGGGAUGACGUCAAGUCAUCAUGGCCCUUACGACCAGGGCUACACACGUGCUACAAUGGCGCAUACAAAGAGAAGCGACCUCGCGAGAGCAAGCGGACCUCAUAAAGUGCGUCGUAGUCCGGAUUGGAGUCUGCAACUCGACUCCAUGAAGUCGGAAUCGCUAGUAAUCGUGGAUCAGAAUGCCACGGUGAAUACGUUCCC
rnacentral:rRNA from 1 species